UUGUACCCGGCUUCCUUGUUUCAGGUAAGUUGGCCUUUGCGUCUUGCGAGACGACUGAUGUCCCAGGCAACGACUGGUACCGGGACUUUUUUAAUGGUAAGGAUUUUAUUUUUGUUUCUUUAUGACAGGCCACAGUUGGAGUGGUUGUCCUGUCACUGUUAUGAAAACAUGCAUAAUAUAUUAGGUUGAGUUAGGUUAGAGUUAAAAAUUAGAGAUAACCUUUUUAAUCCCAGCAAGUGAGGACAGGAGGAGACAUCAACAGAGGACAGAGACUAAAGAAGACUUCUUUAUCAACCACAACAAUGUAAGUAAAAAUACUGAACACACCUUUACUGUAAAAAUAAACUUGACUUUAUAAUAAUGCUUGUAAAAUGUUAAACAGGAGCACCAGCAUCCACAGCUGCUUGAGGAGGAAACAUCAACAGAAAGCAAAACAAUUAAUCAUCCACUGAUGGAGGAGGAGGAUGAUGAAGAUGGAGGACAGGAGCACCAGUAUCCACAGCAUCCUGAGGAAACAUCAACAGGGGACAGAAAGACUUCUAUUCACCAAAACAAUACAGGAGUGCCAGCAUCCACUGAUGGAGGAGGAGGAUGAAGAAGUUGGAGGACAUUAGCACCAGUAUCCACAGCUGCCUGAGGAGGAAACAUCAACAGAAAGCAAAACAAUCAAAACAAUUAAUGUAAGUAAAGCCUCUCAUUGGCACAGAAAGACACUGAACUAAUGUUUAAUGUAAAAAUAGAGGUGACUUUAUACUAAUGCCUGUAAAAUGUUGGACUGGAACAACGGCAUCUACUGAUGGAGGAGGAGGAUGAAGAUGGAGGACAGGAGCACCAGUAUCCACAGCAUCCUGAGGAAACAUCAACAGAGGACAGAGACUUCUAUUCACCAAAACAAUACAGGAGCACCAGCAUCCACAGCAUCCUGAGGAGGAAACAUUACCAGAGGACAGAAAGACUUCUAUUCACCAAAACAAUCAAUGUAAGUAAAGCUUCUCAUUUACGCAGAAAGAAUCUGAAUACGUGUUUAAUGUAAAAAUAAAGAUGAUUUUGAUACUAAUGACUGUGAAUUG
rnacentral:lncRNA from 1 species